UUUGCAAACAUCUUAUUCACAGGCACUUAUUGCUUAGGUUCCCUCAAGACAUACCGGUCAUUGAAAAAGAGACUGGCCUUAGUUUAAAAUUUCUUUAAAGCCACUCUGAAUGGCAACUGACUACGAGAAGAACCCUAAAUGGAACUCUUCGUCUUAGUGUAACUCCAUGCACGAGCAUUUCAGAUUUGUACUUUCAACUUCCUAUAAAUUAUAACCACUGUAAGAGAAAAAGCAGUGAAGAUAGUCCUCAAACUCCUAUACUCCAAGAUCCACCCUCAAAGAGUGGAAGGAACAGCAAAGUGGAAGGAACAAAGCACUGACGUCAAUUACGAGAUUAACCCCGGGCACAGGCAGCUGAAGGAAAGGCCUAAACAUCAAUAUCCAAACCCGAGCUAUCGGGAUAACUAGGCCGGGGGUGGGGGUGAAACGGAAAGAAGAAGGGCGAAGCCGGAUCGAGCAGCCCCGGCCUGGAGGGUCUCCCGAGCCCCCAAGGCGGACCCAGUUCACCGUCUCCCCCACCCCCACCCCGCACCCCGCGGCCAGGCCCGGCCCGGCCCGGCCCUCCGUCAGUCAGUCGGCCCCUCUCACCUCCAAUCCCUGCUCCGCUAGGCCCAAACCAUCUCCCAGCUGCGGCAGCGGCGGCGCCGGGCCUGCACCUUCACCGGACGCGCAUUCGAGCCCGCCCGGGGGCGGCGACAGACUGCCAAGGACGAGGGGUUCCGGGCGGCGGCGGGGGUUCGGCAGGUCUGGAAAGGCGCAGGCGGGGGCGGCGGCGACGCGCCUCACACGGAACAGGCGGAGGUCCCGCCCCGCUCCAUGACGGUCGGGCCCAGCCCGGGACGGCCGACUGAGGCGGCAGGGGCGGGCCGACGAAGACCUGGCACCGGGAUCCCCGCCCCGUCCGCUGGCGGCGGCGGCGACGGCGGCUCGACUCCCGCAGCCAGGACGGUGACUGACGCAGCGGCCGUGCCACCCAUGUGAUCAGGGCCGGGCGGGGGCGAGGCGUCACGUGGCGACGCCGCGCCCCGCCCCGCCAGAAAAGCGGGGCCCUGCUGGGCCUGCGGUGACCGGAGGCGACACGGGGGCCGUGACGUGCGCGGCUGUGGGGGUCGAACGACCCCGGACGGGCGGAGCACCGGCCCCGGUGGCUUAGACCCGACCUCCUAGGCCCCGCGGCGGCACAGGGCAGGGCCGCCGGGCAGGACCCGGCCUGCAGAUCCGAGACGCGCACACCCUUCUGUGCACGUAGCCGCUACCGGGGACGGGCCGAGCCGGGUCUACCGGUUCUGGGACUCAGGUGAGGGGCGGGGGGGGUCAGGUCGUGCGCCCCUGGCGAGGGUCUGGCGAACCCGAAGCCCUUUCGACCGACUUCCCGGUGCUGACGUUGAUGCCCGGAGUCCAGCAGCCCUCAACAGGUCGGCGGAGAAAGGAAGUCUCCAGGGACUUACUGCAGGAGGAUGCUUAGAACCACGCUUGAACUUCUUCCAUGAAGCCUCUCCAGCCCUUUCUGUUCGUCAUCCAAACAUUUUCUGCCAGUAAUACUGUUCUUCAGGAUAUCAUUUUCAACGCUUUCCUUCAUCUCUUAACAUUCUGCCAGUCAGGGCAAACUAUAAUUUAAUUGAGAGUAAAAUAAUAGUUAUAGACCAGACAGGAUUUUCAAAGGGUCUCAUGGAACGCAGUUUGGUAACUGUUCAGAGACACUACCUCUGGCUCACCAUUGGAAGAACACUUUAUAAUCUCCUGCCUCUUACUUGUUUUCUUUCUGUACAGAAGCCUCAGGAAGCUGGGAGGAGCGUGAAGGGGGUGGGAGGUUACUUUCUACCAACUAAUCUAGAAAAAAGCGUGUUAAAGAUUGCUUUUGGAAGGUGCAAGGUUUUUGAGGAGCUUUAUGAUAAACUCUUAUAAGGAAUGUGCAUAUGAAAAUGUUUUUGUCAGCCCUUAACACUGGUAAUUCAGCAUCAAUAAAAGUAUAAUUUUUCCUUUUUAAAAUUCUUAACUGACCACCUAUUAUUUUUAAGCCUGACUCUUUAUAUCUAUAUAGAUAUUAUCUAUGUAUCUCUAUAGAUGAGGAAAUUAUUAGUGCAAAACUCAAAAAGAACUGUGAUGAAAUAGAGUGAAAAAUAAUUACUCCUCCCAUCCUUUAACUAUGGUAGUCCUGGAGGCAAUCAUUUGGCAUUUUCUAGUGUAUCUCCCAAGAUAUGUUAUAAAUAAACGUGAAAAUAUAGUGAUAACAUACUUUUUACAGGAAAGAUAAUGUACUGUAUAUACUGUUAAGUUCCUUCCUUUUCUCACUUAAAAUAUCCUGGGUAUCCUUCCAUAUGGAUGUGGGGCCACAAGCCAACAAAGAAUUCUUGAGAGGCUUUUGGUGCAAGAAGGUGCUUUUAUUACAACCUGGGGUCAGAACCUGUGGGCAGAAAGAGCUGUACCUUUCCUGUAUGAAGGCAGUGGCUACAUGCUUAGUGCUCAAGGGGGAGGGGAGCUGCAGGGAGUAUUAGAUCAUAAAUGUCUUCCUCGAAUUUCUACUCCUAAAACUAGUUUCAGAAGAUUUCUCUGGUGCUUAACAUUCACCUCAAUAUUAACUGUUGGUGAGAUUUACAGGCACUCAUGAGACGCUUUAAGAAUGCAGGAGUCAGUGCAUGUUUGAUCCUUAUCAAAACCAUGUAAGCUAUAGGUCAGCCUUCUGGGCUAAAGGUGAACAUUUUUCUGCUUCUAGCCAUCAUCACUUAUCACUACAUGAAGAACUGCUUCAUUCUUCCCAGCGGCAGUAUUUACAUUGUAUGCAAAUAUUUAUUUAGUCAGUCCCCAAUAAGUGGGCAUUUAGGUUGUUGCCAAGCCAAAGCUAUUACAAACUAGGCUGUAACUGAUAACUAAUUACCCCAUACGAUGGGCAACUAAUAUGUAAAUCCUUACCCUGGAACCUUUAGAUCAAAAGGUAUUUUUAACUUUGAUAGAUACUGUCAAAUUGUCCUCUGCAGAAGUUGUGCCAAUUUUAUUUGCUUUCUUUCAAGUUUUGCCUUGGAAGAUUUACAAGGCUAUAUUGGAAGAUAGUGGGGAUGGAGAGAAGUAAAAGAAAGAUUGUCAUUUUACACAGUAAUUAAAGAAGUAUGAAGAUGCAAAUUGAUAUUUAAUAAACUUUACAAGAAGUUUCCUUAA